UGUCCCCAUUUUCUCAGACAAGGAAACCAAGGCACAGAGAGAGUACCCGGCUCGCCCCUGACACACAGUGGAGGAAGCCAGGUUGAACGACUCUGAUAACUCAAAAACCGGGGGAUUGCCAGCUUCCUUGAGGAGACAGACAUGCUUCCUGACCUGUCCUCACCUGGCAAGAGUCCUGGUUUCUGUCCAGCCCAGCACAAAUCAUGUUGUUGGUGAUUACGCCAGGGUAGAAGAUCUCACACUGCUUCUGGCUAAGGAGAGUCACCCUGGAGCAGCUCAGGCUCCUGUUGUAUUUCACUGAGAGGAACAGGUGCGAUGAACCCUGGGCAUCCUUUGGCGGUGCAGCUCGAAUCCCGCCUCACCGUAACCUCACCGGAGCAGGGAGAGUGCCUGAGUCCCAUCCUCCCCACCCCUCCGUGGCGGUCCCUCGGUGGCUGCCUCUGGGGCAUCCCUUACUUCUUUCUCCAGCAGUGUGCGGCCGUGAGCACCCAGCUCCGGUCCACGAGGACACCCGCGCAUUGGAACUGGAGAUUAUGGAAGAGGGACACCUGCCAGGGCUGCGAGUCACGUGUGCACGGGACGCUAGACGCCUCAAGGUCCAAGCUCGUGACGUUUCCCGGGAGCAGCAGCGCCUGUGCGCCUGGGUGGAGAAGCGAAGGCAGCGGAUUAGGGCUCACCUGGCCUGGGCUGGGAACCCGGCCAGUGCGGAACUUCACUCGAUUGGCCUGUAGGGGGCGCGGCUGUAUCAUGAACCGUGGGAGAAUUAGGGAACCCUGUGAACCAGUUGCAGAGGCGUGAUAGGGCAAGAGGGGUUAGAAUGGAACCGGACUAAGACACCCCAGGGCUGAGGAUGGAGUGGGGAGGAUCUGGGGGAGACGGUUGUAGGAAAGGCAGGGCUCUAACCUACGGGCCAGAGACCAGAUGCAGGCCUAGGACUGUGUUAGGGAAGGGCGUGGGGCGGGGCGCAGAGAGGGACUGGUACAGAGCUCAGUUGGGUAGUAAGAACGGAACACAUGGGGGAGGUAAAGGGAAGAGACAAAGCAAUGGAGCAGUGAGGGGCGGAGACAGAGCACAGCCCAGCAGUAAGGAGCUGGAGACAGGAGCACAGUAGGGGCGGCCAGGAGAGGAGACAGGAACACAGUAGGGCAGUAAGGGACCGGGCCAGAACGCUGUGAAGCACUAGGCAGGAGAGAAGGGAAGGUCGAGUCCGAAGAUGGGAAGGGGCAGAGGAAGGGCUCCAAUGCUGCACAGCAGACUAGGCAUACUGUGGGAUCUCGUUUAGGAAUAGGCAGGGACUCAGUGAGUGUUCAAGGGGCGAGGAGAAGGCAUGCGGAGCGGGAGAGGCUGAGGUGCUGGUGCAGUGAAGGGGCUGCGGUUCUUUUCCAGUGGGGCACGGCACCUGGGGACAGAGCCCACCCGAGGGUGGAUCUUGCUUGGGAUGGUUAUGUAGGUGCUGGGUCCCCAGGAGGGCGAGCUGAGCAUGGUUGCUGCGGCCACACGCCCUCCUCCUCCGGUCCUGGCCCUUCCCUCCCGUUGCCCCCGGCCCAGGGCUCACCCCAGAGUUGCGCCAUCAGUAGCGGUAGCAGCAGCUUCACUAGGGUCAAGGCACCAGAGGCGGUGGAGAAGUAGAGGAGCUGGGCCCUCAUGGUUGACACCUGGCUUGCUGAGACCGGAGCGGAGGGCUAAAACAGAUAUUCUGUCAAGACCCCUGCCUGGCGCGCCUGGGCCAUCUCAGCAGGGACCUCUCCGGGGCCCUCAGGACUUUCCUCCAGAGGGGAGCAUUUGUGCACUCAGCCUUUCUGGGACACCAGCCACGCUGAGCUCCAGGUCCACGCUCCUUCGUGGGGUGGGGGUCCUGCUCAGAGCCCUUGGGAGCUUCUUCCUAACCUCAGAGCUGAGGGACUUCCCCAUGUGACAGGGAAAUCAGGGCUACAAAAGAGUUGCUGCCCGUUGCCCGAGGGUCCCCACCCAUCCUCUCGCCAUCCACCCCAACCAGGGUGGGGUGCAUCCCCUUCACCUGGGAGUCGCUAGUGGGAAGGAGGGAGGAGACUCCGAAGUGUCUCUUGCUGUGCAAUGUGGACCGCAAACGGUCCUCUGACCAGGGACCCCUGGCAGACCUUCCCUUUUUAACCCCCAAGAUCCCGGAAGCUUCCCCCACCCUCCCCUCAGGGACUCACUCCCUCUCUUUCCCUCUCCCUAAUUAUAACGUGGGUGGGGCUGGCACUCAACCAGGGCCCCAGAUUCCUGCUGCGGGAGGGGCCCUGGAAUACAGGCUGCUGCAGAUGGCAGGAACACCUUCUGGAGCUGGCUUUCUUGGAGGUUCCCCCAUGCCCUGUUAUGAGAAGUAUUCCCAGGUGCGGUGGGAGGGUGCGGAGGGGGUCAAGUCUUCUGGGAUGAUGGGAUGACGUGUGACAUCAAAGGGGGAUGAAGAGGGAGAGAGGUAGGUGUUGGCAGGUGUGGGAAUGCGGAAGGGAAGGAGGGUGGGCAGGGUUCAGGUGGUGGGAGGAAGAGGCAAACUCCCAGAGGUGUAAACCAAGAAACAGAAGCUCCUUGUGUCUCAGCAUGUGCUGGGGGAGGGGCGUCUGUAGCCUUGCACUAAACCUGUGUGUGAACAUCUCGCACCCUCCCUGCGUGUCUCCAGGUGACACACAGCUGGUGAAUCAUAGGAGGCCCAGGCUGCAAGGGACAGGCCACAUCACCUCGGCUAACACCCUCAUUUUGGGUGAGGAAUGGGAGGCUCAGAGAGGGCUGUGACUCAUAAGAGGUCACACAGCAAGCAAGUCCACCUAACAACCGAAGGUUCUAUCUGGUUCCAGCUCUGAGUUCUUCCUUGUGCCAGGAUCUCUCUCCAAGAGCGGAACAGAACGUCUGUGUUAUCUGGGGCAUCUUUUGACAGGCUCAGCUCUGUCCAGAUCUUUUGCUACAGUGGUUAUGUUACAGCAGCCACCAGCCACAUCCAGCUGCAGAGCAUUCGAACUUGUCAAAGGCGGUAGGAAUUUCCUUCCUGCUUUGUCUUUGUUUUGGCUAGCAGAUGCUGGCCUCUGUGAACUGAAUCUGGGCAGUUUGAAAACGACAGCAGCCUUCUUUACUGCCUCUUACUCUAUGCAUGCAGAUGCACACACCUUUUUCAUACUUUCAGACGUGUGAUUUUCUGUAGGAAGAACUGAGUGCCUGGAAGGAGCGAACUGAGUUCUUUCUGCUGGGCCUGCUUGGUGGGUAAGGGUACUUGUGGCUAAGCCUGACAACCUAGGUUUGAUCCUUGGGCCCUACAUGGUGGAAGGGGAUGACUGACUCCUGCAAUUUGCACACCUCCACAUGUGUACCGUGGCAUGAGCACCCUUGCCCCGGCAAUGAAUGAGUAAAUGUAAAAAAGAAAUUAAAGUUACAUAAAAAGAAAAUGAA